rnacentral:lncRNA from 1 species
CGCAAGAAAAAAAUUAGGCGGAAGAAAAAAAAAAUAAUCAGAACAAAUUCAAUAGGUCUUUCCACACGGAAAGGUGGAAAGACCUAAUAAUUGUAUCCUUAAAUCUCCCGAUACAAUGUAUUGUGAAUUAUAUGCCACAUGUUACUGUUAGAAAGGUAUUUAUACAUCAAUGGCUCUUACAUGUUUCAGGUAAAUUAAUAUAGAAAGCCCCA